UACGUAGGGGGCUAGCGUUGUUCGGAAUUACUGGGCGUAAAGCGCACGUAGGCGGGUUGUUAAGUCAGGGGUGAAAUCCUGGAGCUCAACUCCAGAACUGCCUUUGAUACUGGCAACCUAGAGACUGGAAGAGGUUAGUGGAAUUCCCAGUGUAGAGGUGAAAUUCGUAGAUAUUGGGAAGAACACCAGUGGCGAAGGCGGCUAACUGGUCCAGCACUGACGCUGAGGUGCGAAAGCGUGGGGAGCAAACAGG
rnacentral:rRNA from 1 species